rnacentral:rRNA from 1 species
UACGAAGGGGGCUAGCGUUGCUCGGAAUUACUGGGCGUAAAGGGCGCGUAGGCGGUUCUAUAAGUCAGGCGUGAAAUCCCGGAGCUCAACUCCGGAACUGCCCUUGAAACUGCAAUGCUAGAAUCUUGGAGAGGCGAGUGGAAUUCCGAGUGUAGAGGUGAAAUUCGUAGAUAUUCGGAAGAACACCAGUGGCGAAGGCGACUCGCUGGACAAGUAUUGACGCUGAGGUGCGAAAGCGUGGGGAGCAAACAGG